GUUUGGGGCAGUCUGGUGUCUGCAAUGUCUGAGAAUACACUUUCGGCAUCAAGUCCCACAGCAGCUGCUUAUCUUGAAACCCAGUCAAAGGGAAACCUGUACCAGCAGAGCACUGAACAAGACGAAACAUCCCAUUUUUCCACCAAUGACUUCCACUACAUGUAUGAGCCACACCGUGGAAUUGUGUCAGGGAUGAAGAACAACUGCAGGCCAUGGGAUCUUUACAAGAGAUAAUCUGGGUGGAGAUCUGCUGUGGAAUUCUAUUUUAACUGGGCAAAGAUGUAUCACAUUUGUUUAUGCUGCAGAAUAUCACUCUAUGUGAAGCAUCAGUGAAACUCCGAAAAACCGUACCCCCGGCAAGCAUUGUCUUAUAGAAACACUAUGCACGUGGAGUGGCUGAAGGGGUCUCUUGAGAAACACUUCUUCGCCUUUACCUUGGAGCAAGAGAGAGCACACGGGACAGGGUGUGGCCUCACAUCGCUUUCACGGGGUCUGUAUGAAUUGUGUGGGCAGACACACGAGGAAUCAACGUCGUUUCACUGAAACACUGCUGAAGAACUAAGGAGCAAAAUUAAUAUUUCACAAAAGGUAGAAGAAAAGUUCUAAUUUGUCUACUGUCAAUCGGUAAAGUUUCUCUGAUGUUUGGUUUUGAUACAAUUUCAGUACUUUCAUCUCGUAAGAACUCAGUGUCGAGGCUUCCUCUGACCGCGUACUCGCCCAAGGCUUUUGUCUAAUUACACAUAGUGAACUACCCUGUAGUUCUCGCGCUGACACUCGGAGCCAGAGAAACAGAACAGAAUAGCUGCUGGCAAAGCCCGGCAAUUAAUUUUCUAAAUAAAAUGAGAAAAUACAAAUUAAAAAAGUACAUAAAACGAACCCAGGUUUUUUCUGACUAAAGCUCUUAUACAAGUUUCAUGAUUUUUAACUUUUGAAAUACUUAUUUGUUUUUAUUCUGUGUUUUUCCUUGUUUCUUUAAGAAUUGCGGUACAGUUUUAAAUCAUAGGAUUAUAGGCUUUUGAACAGAACUUAA